GACGAACGCUGGCGGCGUGCUUAACACAUGCAAGUCGAACGAUGAAUCCGGAGCUUGCUCCGGUGGAUUAGUGGCGAACGGGUGAGUAACACGUGAGAACCUGCCCUUGACUCUGGGAUAACUGCGGGAAACUGUAGCUAAUACCGGAUACGACCCUCGGCGGCAUCGCCAGGGGGUGGAAAGAAUUUCGGUCAAGGAUGGACUCGCGGCCUAUCAGCUAGUUGGUGAGGUAACGGCUCACCAAGGCGACGACGGGUAGCCGGCCUGAGAGGGUGACCGGCCACACUGGGACUGAGACACGGCCCAGACUCCUACGGGAGGCAGCAGUGGGGAAUAUUGCACAAUGGGCGCAAGCCUGAUGCAGCAACGCCGCGUGAGGGAUGACGGCCUUCGGGUUGUAAACCUCUUUUAGUAGGGAAGAAGCGAAAGUGACGGUACCUGCAGAAAAAGCACCGGCUAACUACGUGCCAGCAGCCGCCGUAA
rnacentral:rRNA from 1 species